UGGGGAAUCUUGCGCAAUGGGCGAAAGCCUGACGCAGCAACGCCGCGUGUGUGAUGAAGGUCUUCGGAUCGUAAAGCACUGUCGGGAGGGACGAAUAAGGCGGCGGCUAACAUCCGCAGCUGAUGACGGUACCUCCAAAGGAAGCACCGGCUAACUCUGUGCCAGCAGCCGCGGUAAUACAGAGGGUGCAAGCGUUGUUCGGAAUUAUUGGGCGUAAAGCGCGUGUAGGCGGUCCUGCAAGUUGGGUGUGAAAGCCCUCGGCUUAACCGAGGAAGUGCGCCCAAAACUGCAUGGCUUGAGUACCGGAGAGGGUGGCGGAAUUCCCGGUGUAGAGGUGAAAUUCGUAGAUAUCGGGAGGAACACCAGCGGCGAAGGCGGCCACCUGGACGGAUACUGACGCUGAGACGCGAAAGCGUGGGGAGCAAACA
rnacentral:rRNA from 1 species